rnacentral:misc_RNA from 1 species
AUUUGCUUCACCUUAUUGAGUUUUAAUUUUGAGAGCUAGAUUGUAAAAGAGGUUCAUUUCUAAUGAGUCCCUAAUUUUGGCAUGUUUAAUUUACUUUUAAUUGGAUGAGAAAGGUAAAAUUAAAAUGAUACCCAGAUGUCCAGGGAACCAUCGUUGGAUAAAUGGAUACCAUGGAGAAGGGUGGUUAGAGAGAAGUAUUAGCAUUAGUAAAAAGAAA